GUGUCAGCCGCCGCGGUAAUACCGGCAGCCCAAGUGGUGGCCACUAUUAUUGGGUCUAAAACGUCCGUAGCCGGCCUGGUAAAUCCUUCGGUAAAUCGAACGGCUUAACCGUUCGGCCUCGUGGGAGACUGCCAGGCUUGGGACCGGGAGAGGCUGGGGGUACUCCAGGGGUAGGGGUGAAAUCCUGUAAUCCUUGGGGGACCACCAGUGGCGAAGGCGCCCGGCUUGAACGGGUCCGACGGUAAGGGACGAAAGCCAGGGGAGCAAACCGGAUUAGAUACCCGGGUAGUCCUGGCCGUAAACGCUGCGGGCUUGGUGUUGGGGAUCCUACGUGGGUGCCCAGUGCCGGAGCGAAGGUGUUAAGCCCGCUACCUGGGGAGUACGGCCGCAAGGCUGAAACUUAAAUGAAUUGACGGGG
rnacentral:rRNA from 1 species